AGAGUUUGAUCAUGGCUCAGAUUGAACGCUGGCGGCAGGCCUAACACAUGCAAGUCGAACGGUAACAGGAAGAAGCUUGCUUCUUUGCUGACGAGUGGCGGACGGGUGAGUAAUGUCUGGGAAACUGCCUGAUGGAGGGGGAUAACUACUGGAAACGGUAGCUAAUACCGCAUAACGUCGCAAGACCAAAGAGGGGGACCUUCGGGCCUCUUGCCAUCGGAUGUGCCCAGAUGGGAUUAGCUUGUUGGUGGGGUAACGGCUCACCAAGGCGACGAUCCCUAGCUGGUCUGAGAGGAUGACCAGCCACACUGGAACUGAGACACGGUCCAGACUCCUACGGGAGGCAGCAGUGGGGAAUAUUGCACAAUGGGCGCAAGCCUGGUGCAGCCAUGCCGCGUGUAUGAAGAAGGCCUUCGGGUUGUAAAGUACUUUCAGCGGGGAGGAAGGGAGUAAAGUUAAUACCUUUGCUCAUUGACGUUACCCGCAGAAGAAGCACCGGCUAACUCCGUGCCAGCAGCCGCGGUAAUACGGAGGGUGCAAGCGUUAAUCGGAAUUACUGGGCGUAAAGCGCACGCAGGCGGUUUGUUAAGUCAGAUGUGAAAUCCCCGGGCUCAACCUGGGAACUGCAUCUGAUACUGGCAAGCUUGAGUCUCGUAGAGGGGGGUAGAAUUCCAGGUGUAGCGGUGAAAUGCGUAAGAUCUGG
rnacentral:rRNA from 1 species